UUCUAUCUUCCACACACACAAUUCUUUAACAAAUGUUUUCAACACAGUUUGAUAUGGUUACGGUUUCUUCUAGGAAUUAGAAUUUACGUUAGAGCAAAGUUUAACAGAGGUUGAAUCUGCAGUUCUGAAUAUAUGAUACUUUGGAAACUUUCGUGAAAGGCUGCUAUUGUUUACGUCAGUACAUCAUCGGUUAAGAAGCAUUCAGUAGUUUCAAGUCUAAGGGAACAGAGAUUGAUGAUAAAAAUAUGGAGAAAGAAAAAAGAAAGAACAAGAAUCCAGAUUGAAGAAGCUUUCACAGAAAAUUAUGUUUAAUUAAUUUUACGAUCUUGUUUUCUUAUUUUCAUCUUCUGCUUUUUUUGUUAGACUUCUCUCUGUAUUGUUUUGUUUUGUUAAACUAUAUUUUCAUUGGAAACGUAAAACUCUAAUGAAAAAUAAUUUAUUUAAUUGAUA